UGGUGGAUUGAUUUGUCUGGUUAAUUCCGAUAACGAACGAGACCUUAACCUGCUAAAUAGUCGCGUCAACUUUGGUUGGCGAUUCGACUUCUUAGAGGGACUAUGGAUGAUUUAAUCUCCAUGGAAGUUUGAGGCAAUAACA
rnacentral:rRNA from 1 species